rnacentral:lncRNA from 1 species
UGGGGGUGUAUUCCUGUUAUGAUUCCGUAUUCAGUGUUUCGUGUUUCGUGUUCCAUGUUUAUUACGAAUCUGUGUGCUUUCCUCUGCUUUAUAUUCCUGCACUCCUGCUUUACUCUGUUUUAUAUUCCUUAUGGGUGCCGUAUUUAUGUUAUGUCAUCUGCUUCUGUGCUGUACUAUGUGUUUGUGUGAUAUCUCGUGACUUGAGCCGGAGGUCUUUCGGAAACAGCCUUUCUACUUCAUCAGAGGUAGAGGUAUGGACUGCGUACAUCUUACCCCCUCCAGACCCCACUAAGUGGGAAUACACUGGGUUUGUUGUUGUUGUU